ACCUCUACUCUCCCGCCCCCCAUUUUGGAGAAACAGCACAGAGCUUGCAAGGAAGACGGCUUUAAAAUGAAUUUGAUUUCCUCUUACUGGGCCGCACCACUGUUAGCUGGCAAAAUGCUACGUGGAAGGGCAUGAAAUAGGAAAAACAACUUUUGUCCAUAAAAAAGGACCCAGCUGGAUGGUGAUAAACCUGGUACAAUGUUACCAUGCAUGAGGAUCUUCAGAACCCAGGUUCAAGUUGCAGGUUCCAGAUGCUACCAUGAAGCCAACCAGACUUCCCUGGACAGAUGACCCCACCAAUGUGUCCUGGAGCUCCACUUCCUCAGA